UUGUCAGCAACUCCUAUCCCUACCUCCUUGCGGUACCGGCCAGAGUACGAGCAACCUUAGGGAAGAUCGGGUAACCAACGCCGGUCGGAACUCAGGUCGUAUGCUGACAGGGAAGG
rnacentral:ribozyme from 1 species